rnacentral:misc_RNA from 1 species
GGAAGUAAAAGUCGUAACAAAGUUUCCGUAGGUGAACCUGCGGAAGGAUCAUUAACGAGUUAGGGUCUUCCAGGCCCGACCUCCCAACCCUAUGUUUAUUGAACCUCUGUUGCUUCGGCGGACCCGCCUCACGGCCGCCGGAGGACCGCUGCAAGGCGUCCUCUGGCCAGCGUCCGCCGAUGGCCAACCACUUAAACUCUGAAUGAAUCGUGUCAUAUGUCUAAGUCUAUGAUUAAAUUAAAGCAAAACUUUCAACAACGGAUCUCUUGGUUCUG